rnacentral:rRNA from 1 species
GACGAACGCUGGCGGCGUGCUUAACACAUGCAAGUCGAACGGAAAGGCCCUGCUUUUGUGGGGGGCUCGAGUGGCGAACGGGUGAGUAACACGUGAGUAACCUGCCCUUGACUUUGGGAUAACUUCAGGAAACUGGGGCUAAUACCGGAUAUGAGCUCCUGCUGCAUGGUGGGGGGUGGAAAGUUUCGGCGGUUGGGGAUGGACUCGCGGCUUAUCAGCCUGUUGGUGGGGUAGUGGCUUACCAAGGCUUUGACGGGUAGCCGGCCUGAGAGGGUGACCGGCCACAUUGGGACUGAGAUACGGCCCAGACUCCUACGGGAGGCAGCAGUGGGGAAUAUUGCACAAUGGGCGGAAGCCUGAUGCAGCAACGCCGCGUGCGGGAUGACGGCCUUCGGGUUGUAAACCGCUUUCGCCUGUGACGAAGCGUGAGUGACGGUAAUGGGUAAAGAAGCACCGGCUAACUACGUG